UACGGGGGGGGCGAGCGUUGUCCGAAGUUACUGGGCGUAAAGCGCGUGUAGGCGGGUUGUUAAGUCCGCUGUGAAAGCCCGGUGCUCAACGCCGGAGGGUCGGUGGAUACUGGCAGUCUUGAAGUGGCUAGGGGGAAAUGGAAUUACCGGUGUAGCGGUGAAAUGCGUAGAUAUCGGUAGGAACACCAGUGGCGAAGGCGGUUUCCUGGAGCUAACUUGACGCUGAGACGCGAAAGCGUGGGGAGCGAACAGG
rnacentral:rRNA from 1 species